GCUCCGUAGGUGAACCUGCGGAGGGAUCAUUACCGAGCUCAUGCCCUUACGGGUAGAUCUCCCACCCUGUGUUAUUAUUACCUUUGUUGCUUUGGCGGGCCGCCAGGCUCCGGUCAGGCUAUCGGCUUCGGCUGGUAAGCGCCCGCCAUAGGACCCUAUAUCCUGAUUAUUAGUGUCGUCUGAGUACUAUAUAAUAGUUAAAACUUUCAACAACGGAUCUCUUGGUUCUG
rnacentral:misc_RNA from 1 species